GCCAAGGUGGCUCAGUGGCUAACGCACGUGCCUAGAAAGCAAGAGUCCAGGGUUCGAUUCCCGGCCUUGGCA